rnacentral:rRNA from 1 species
CAGUAGCCGCGGUAAUACGAAGGGGGCUAGCGUUGUUCGGAUUUACUGGGCGUAAAGCGCACGUAGGCGGAUCGAUCAGUCAGGGGUGAAAUCCCAGAGCUCAACUCUGGAACUGCCUUUGAUACUGUCGAUCUGGAGUAUGGAAGAGGUGAGUGGAAUUCCGAGUGUAGAGGUGAAAUUCGUAGAUAUUCGCAAGAACACCAGUGGCGAAGGCGGCUCACUGGCCCGAUACUGACGCUGAGGUGCGAAAGCGUGGGGAGCAAACAGGAUUAGAUACCCCGGUAGUCCCUGUCUCUUAUAC